rnacentral:lncRNA from 1 species
CUGUGAUGUCAUAACCGCGCGCCGCGGGCGUGAUUGAAACGGAGAUGCAGCGGGCGGUCGGGCUGCGGCCCACGCUGCGGUGGUUCCGCGCCGCCCCCCCGGCGUUGGCGGCGGACAAAGAGGCGCUGCUGAAGCUGCGGAAGAGCACUGGGCUGCCGUUCACGAAGUGCCAGGAGGCGCUGCGGCAGUGCGGGGGGGACGUGGGGCAGGUG